ACCCUCUCAGGGUCGCACCUGGUGAGUUUCCAGAACUCUACCAGUCUCGACUACAGGAGGGAGAGUCAAGCAGAGGCACAUUAAGUCCGUUCCUAGCUUGGGCAGUAGCUAGCGAGUGGAAGGCAAUCUACUACAAGU